rnacentral:rRNA from 1 species
CAGUAGCCGCGGUAAAACAGAGGGUGCAAGCGUUAAUCGGAAUUACUGGGCGUAAAGCGCGCGUAGGUGGUUUGUUAAGUUGGAUGUGAAAGCCCCGGGCUCAACCUGGGAACUGCAUCCAAAACUGGCAAGCUAGAGUACGGUAGAGGGUGGUGGAAUUUCCUGUGUAGCGGUGAAAUGCGUAGAUAUAGGAAGGAACACCAGUGGCGAAGGCGACCACCUGGACUGAUACUGACACUGAGGUGCGAAAGCGUGGGGAGCAAACAGGAUUAGAUACCCCUGUAGUCCCUGUCUCUUAUAC